GAUGAACGCUGGCGGCGUGCCUAAUACAUGCAAGUCGAGCGAACAGAUGAGAAGCUUGCUUCUCUGAUGUUAGCGGCGGACGGGUGAGUAACACGUGGGUAACCUACCUAUAAGACUGGGAUAACUCCGGGAAACCGGGGCUAAUACCGGAUAAUAUUUUGAACCGCAUGGUUCAAUAGUGAAAGACGGUUUCGGCUGUCACUUAUAGAUGGACCCGCGCCGUAUUAGCUAGUUGGUAAGGUAACGGCUUACCAAGGCGACGAUACGUAGCCGACCUGAGAGGGUGAUCGGCCACACUGGAACUGAGGCACGGUCCAGACUCCUACGGGAGGCAGCAGUAGGGAAUCUUCCGCAAUGGGCGAAAGCCUGACGGAGCAACGCCGCGUGAGUGAUGAAGGUCUUCGGAUCGUGAAACUCUGUUAUUAGGGAAGAACAAAUGUGUAAGUAACUGUGCACAUCUUGACGGUACCUAAUCAGAAAGCCACGGCUAACUACGUGCCAGCCGCCGCUGUAA
rnacentral:rRNA from 1 species